UWUUUGCAUAUCAAUAAGCGGAGGAAAAGAAACCAACAGGGAWUUKSCCCUAGUAACGGCGAGUAGUAGUUUGGGAAUGCUGCUCUAAAUGGGAGGUGUACGUCUUCUAAAGCUAAAUACCGGCCAGAGACCGAUAGCGCACAAGUAGAGUGAUCGAAAGAUGAAAAGCACUUUGAAAAGAGGGUUAAAAAGUACGUGAAAUUGUUGAAAGGGAAGCGUUUAUGACCAGACUUGGGCUUGGUUGAACAUCCGGCGUUCUCGCGGACCGAGGAACGCGCUUCGGCUCGGACGCUGGCGUAAUGGUCGUAAGCGGCCCGCCUUGAAACACGGACCCAA
rnacentral:rRNA from 1 species